AACGAACGCUGGCGGCAGGCUUAACACAUGCAAGUCGAGCGCCCCGCAAGGGGAGCGGCAGACGGGUGAGUAACGCGUGGGAACGUACCUUUUGGUUCGGAACAACUCCGGGAAACUGGAGCUAAUACCGGAUAAGCCCUAACGGGGAAAGAUUUAUCGCCGAAAGAUCGGCCCGCGUCUGAUUAGCUAGUUGGUGAGGUAACGGCUCACCAAGGCGACGAUCAGUAGCUGGUCUGAGAGGAUGAUCAGCCACACUGGGACUGAGACACGGCCCAGACUCCUACGGGAGGCAGCAGUGGGGAAUAUUGGACAAUGGGCGCAAGCCUGAUCCAGCCAUGCCGCGUGAGUGAUGAAGGCCAUAGGGUUGUAAAGCUCUUUUGUCCGGGAAGAUAAUGACUGUACCGGAAGAAUAAGCCCCGGCUAACUUCGUG
rnacentral:rRNA from 1 species